AUCAGAUGUUUUUGAGAAUAUAUUGUUGUGGCAAUUGCUGAUAAAAGGCUGGUGUAAAGAGGGAACCUGUAAGGGUGGCUAAGUUCUAUUUUUAGAGGAGAGUAUGUCCAAAUUUUUAUAAAAGUAUAAGGAUUUAAUUAAAAUGAAUAUUUAAUGCUUGUUUAAUGGUGAUAACCAUUGUUGUCAAACUCGCGAGUUAACUCGUAAACUCGCACACGAGUUUACGAGUUUAGGUAGUGGAAUCGAGUUAACUCAGACACAAACUCGUUUCUGAGUAGACUCGGGUAGACUAGGAUAAACUCGGUCAAACUCGCGAGUUUAUUCAUGAGUCAGCGAGUUUGAUUUAGGUUGGGUUUUUUGCCAAAACGGCCCGUUUUGGGCAAAAAAAAAAAAAAAAAAAAGGCAGCAACGGAGCAACCCACUAACCCAGCUAACCCUAAAUCCCCUUUGCUCGCACUCACUCUCUUCUCUUCUCUAAGCUAUCUUCUUCGCGUUUCGUCGUCAACGGUCCAUCCCUCGCCGCCGUCCGUCCCCGAUCCCUUGCUGCCGUUCACCGUUCGCCGUUCCCCAAACCACUGUUCUCUCACUCUUGCUCUCUCAUUCAGCUCGACACACUCUCACAGUCUCACUCUCUCGCUCCCUGAUCUGCAUCGAAGAACGCAGAUUCGUGGAGUACAGCCGUCAGCACAACACAGCAACACCAAUGUCAGCCACGCUUUCGUCGGUCGUUGUGGAGCACAGCACAGCAACGCGCCAACGCCAGUGUCAGCUACUCAGCUGAGCCUACUUCAUUCUGCCAUCUCAGCCUUCAGGGACAAAAAUACAAAAUGUCUGAAACAAAUGAUGUUUCGGAUGAAGAUGGUGAAGAUGAUGAUGUUGAUGCCAUGGAAGAUGAAGAUAUUGGAGGA